UAAUGUGCAGUUUGCCUCUUGCUGGC
rnacentral:piRNA from 1 species